UGGGCUAUCGCCAAGCGGUAAGGCACAGGGUUUUGAUCCCUGCAUCACGCUGGUUCGAAUCCAGCUAGCCCAG
rnacentral:tRNA from 4 species